CCUACGGGUGGCAGCAGUGGGGGAUAUUGCACAAUGGGGGAAACCCUGAUGCAGCGACGCCGCGUGGGUGAAGAAGCGCCUCGGCGCGUAAAGCCCUGUCAGCAGGGAAGAAAAUGACGGUACCUGAAGAAGAAGCCCCGGCUAACUACGUGCCAGCAGCCGCGGUAAUACGUAGGGGGCAAGCGUUAUCCGGAUUUACUGGGUGUAAAGGGGGCGCAGACGGCGGUGCAAGCCAGGAGUGAAAGCCCGGGGCCCAACCCCGGGACUGCUCUUGGAACUGCGUGGCUAGAGUGCAGGAGGGGCAGGCGGAAGUCCUGGUGUAGCGGGGAAAUGCGUAGAUAGCAGGAGGAACACCGGUGGCGAAGGCGGCCUGCUGGACUGCAACUGACGUUGAGGCCCGAAAGCGUGGGGAGCAAACAGGAUUAGAUACCCGAGUAGUC
rnacentral:rRNA from 1 species